rnacentral:lncRNA from 1 species
AGCGAUGUUUGCACUUGGGUGAGCGCGGCUGGCCCCGGGCCAUUGUUAGGAGUCUUCAGUGCAGGGUGUCAGCCAGGAUGGAUCUGCGCUGCAUCCCUCUGUCCAGGGCCCGCCCCAGGAGCGCCCAGGGUGUGUGCAUCUGCAGACAGACAGGACACCGGGACCCCCAGAGAGAGUCUCCCAAGGUACCUCUUGGCCCAGUGUUCCUGGCCAGAGAAAGACUUGGCAACUGGAGGACGUGGGCCAACCCCUGACCAGCAUAAGACAGUUAAGGCCUUAGGAGAUAUUUUGACAUUGUGAGACCUGUGGCCACAACUUGGAGAAAGAGAUGUCCUUCUUUCCCUCUUGAGCAAAGGACAUUUAGAGAAAGAUAAAACAUUUUCUUUUCAACACCUGA